UCAAGAGUCAGAAGCUUAACUGACUGAGCCAUCCUGGCGGCCCUGGAUAUUUAACAUUUUAAGAAACUAUCCGACUAUUUCACGCAGUGGCCCGACGGCUCUGCGUCCCUGCUGGCAAGCAUCGGAGUGUCCCGGCCACUCUACGUCUUCACCGACCCUUGGCGUCGCCAGUCUCCUUAACUGUACCCACUCUGGCGGGAGCGCAGCGGGGCCUCGUAGCGCCUACGCCGCUGAGCUCUGAUACGCUUGCUGUCGCUCGCGUUUUAGGUCGGGCUGCCUGUCUUCUUACUGAGCUGUCCACGUCCUCUACACACUCCGAACGCAAGUCCUUCAGCAGAUGGGGUCUGCAAGUCUAGUUCUCAUCUUCCCAUGCCUUUUCAUCUUCACAGCGUCCUCUGAAGGACGAAGCUUUCAAAUCUAGAUGGAGCUCAAAGUGUCAUUGUUUUGGUGACACACGGAAGACAUCUCUGCCUGACCCAAAGUCCGUGGUCUUCUGGAAUUUCGUAGCGUUCGUUCCUGCCUUUAGUUCUAUGAUCUGUCCUGAGGUAAUUUUGCAAAUGGUGGGAGCUAAGGGUUCCAGUCAAUGGUGUCCACAGAGAUCAGACUUGUCCCCACGCCACUUACGCAAAGACAACCUUCUCCCCCCAGUAAACUGCCCUGGCCCCUUGGCCCCGAAGCCAUGAACCACACACAGGGGCCUAUUUACGGGCUCCUUCUGUUCCUUCGAUGUACAGGUCAUUGUUCUCCUGCCAAUACGACAGCUUGGAUUGCUUAUGGCUUAAUAUAUAUGCAGUCCGGAAGCCAGACAGUGGAAGGCCUGUGACUCUGUCCAUCUCAGAUUUAGCAGUCCCGUCCGUCGAGACGGCACAUCGUUCCGUGUCCUUGGGCUUUGAGCUCAUCCGUGUUAACAGUUUCGGUCUAUACGCCUUCCCCGUGCUGGUAUCUAACGAUUUCCAUCUAUUGCGUGGUUUCCAGUCGCUCGCUGGAGCUACACGGGAAUGUUAGUUUCUGUGCGGGCACCACACGUCCCUUGGCUUUGCUAAACUCAACUGCUAGUUCUGGUGGCCCUUCUCUGGAGAUGUCUUCGGCUUCUCCAUCCAGUCCGUCUUGUCGUCGGCAAGUUAAGACAGUUUGGCUCUUUCUCUUCCAGUCUGGGUGACUGUCUUGUCCUUGCCUCCCUGCGCUGCCCGGGACACCCCAUCAGACGACUGUGGCGGAGCGUGGUGAGCGCAGCGACGGUGCUUACAGGCGUGGUAACCGGAAGGGCUGGCACCGGAGAAGGCUGCGUGCGGGGAACAGAGCUUCACUGAGCUCGGCAACGUUCAAAAUUAUUUCACCGCGAACGCGCUCCUGUGUCUCCCUCAGGCUCUCCUGGGACUGUUCUCGCCAGGAUCGCCAAGAACACCGGGUCCUCCUUGUCGCUCAGUCCGCGAAUACUUCUAGACAUUCCUGCUUGACCUCCCUGCGGUGUUUGAUGGGUCGGGCUCCCAGCAGGAAACAGAAGGCUCCAAACCGGGGUCACCGAGGAGGCUUGAAGAGGGGCUAGUUACAAGGUUGCUCUGGGGGCUUCGAUGUAGAGCUGCCUAGGAUCCUGCCGCCCUCGGGAACUGUCAUCCCCGCAGCUUCACGGCCACGCUAACGAGGCCCUAACAGGUCUAGACCUUCCUGGGAUCCUCCUCCUGCCCAGUGAUCCGGGGCGCCCCAGGGCCCAGGCAGCCGCGGGGGAGGGGGAGCCCACACGAACCAAGCGAGCACCGGGCUUCUCCCGACAGCAUCCGCCCUUUACAGACGAGGAACCCGAAGGACAGAGAAGUUAGAGAAGCUGUCCCCGGUCCCGUGCAGGUGCGGGGCCAGGACUGGAGCCUGCCAGGGGCUUCCCAGCCUGUAAUCUUAACCACUAUGACCCAAAGAGACUUCUUCAGAUUCAGGAAAAAGGACUGGAUGAUUCAUUUCCCAGAAAAGUCUUUCCCCAUCUGCCGAUGGUGCCUGUCCCGUGAACUCCCCUGGCAUGUCAGACCCCAGCCCCAAAACAGAAGGACAGAGAGUACCCCUCAGCUUCUCGUGAAACCACUGCAGCU